CACGUAGGGCGCAAGCGUUGUCCGGAAUUAUUGGGCGUAAAGAGCUCGUAGGCGGUCUGUUACGUCUGCUGUGAAAACUCGGGGCUUAACCCCGGGCCUGCAGUGGGUACGGGCAGACUAGAGUGCGGUAGGGGAGACUGGAAUUCCUGGUGUAGCGGUGAAAUGCGCAGAUAUCAGGAGGAACACCGGUGGCGAAGGCGGGUCUCUGGGCCGUAACUGACGCUGAGGAGCGAAAGCAUGGGGAGCAAACAGG
rnacentral:rRNA from 1 species